GUGCUUUCUUUGAUAGCACAUAUUCUAAAAUUAGAACAAAACAGAGAUUAGCUUGGCCCUGUGCAAGGCUGACAAGCCAAUUUGUGAAGCAGUCCAUAUUUAA